rnacentral:rRNA from 1 species
CCUACGGGCGGCUGCAGUGGGGGAUAUUGCACAAUGGGGGGAACCCUGAUGCAGCGACGCCGCGUGGGUGAAGGAGCGUUUCGGCGCGUAAAGCCCUAUCGGCAGGGAAGAAGGAGGACGGUACCUGACGAAGAAGCCCCGGCUAACUACGUGCCAGCAGCCGCGGUAAUACGGAGGGGGCAAGCGUGAUCCGGAUUUACUGGGUGUAAAGGGGGCGCAGACGGCAGCGCAAGCCAGGAGGGAAAGCCCGGGGCCCAACCCCGGGACUGCUCUUGGAACUGCGCGGCUGGAGUGCAGGAGGGGCAGGCGGAAUUCCUGGUGUAGCGGUGAAAUGCGUAGAUAUCAGGAGGAACACCGGUGGCGAAGGCGGCCUGCUGGACUGCGACUGACGUUGAGGCCCGAAAGCGUGGGGAGCAAACAGGAUUAGAUACCCUGGUAGUC